GUUGGUGACUAUUGGCCUGGUGUUCACCUCUUCCCAUCCCGAACAGAGAAGUUAAGCCCAGAACCGCCGAUGAUACUUGGAUCAAACCUGGUAAAGUAGGUAGUCGCCACAA
rfam:Dyadobacter psychrophilus strain DSM 22270 genome assembly, contig: LX75DRAFT_scaffold00009.9